ensembl:snRNA RNU6-529P RNA, U6 small nuclear 529, pseudogene
AUGCUUGCUUCAUCAGCACAUACACUAAAAUUGGAACAAUACAGAGAUUAGCCUGGCCCCUGUGCAAGGAUGACAUGCAAAUUCGUGAAGUGUUUCAUAUUUAU